ensembl:lncRNA
AUGCAGUACAGGACAGCCAGUCAGACCAGGGCUCAUGUAAUAGCCUUAAAGGCACAGUAAUUAUGUUUAAUUCUAGCCUUUUAGUUCUAAGUUUGUUAGGGGCAGUUCUUCUCCCUUUGGGAUGCCUACAAACGCUAAAGCUCGAAAGCGAGAAGUGCAAGUAACAACAGAAACGUCCAGGAUCUCAACCAACAGAAGAGCUGCGUGAGUUAGUAAGGCUCACUUAUACGUACCUAUAUACUUAGAAAUACCCAUAAAAGCACAAAUUCAUCAACAUUUGAGCUACAUAAGUACAUCCCGCUGAGUAAAUCUGAGUUUGGUGCCACCUCUGUUUGAUGUGUGAUGGAUUUGUCCGCGGGGGCGGAGCUACGUCUCAGCGCCGUUAUAAACCGCCACCGUGUGGCUGAAGAUCUUCAUGAACUCAAAGCAGGAAAGAGAGAAACUCAGCAUCGCGCAGCAGGAUUAAAACGAGGAGCACCAAGGAGGCGUUUUUCUGCUGGAUGUACAGCUCCAGUGACUGUGACCUGAGGACACUGUGAAGUCCAGAUUUCAAUACACUUGUUAUUUUUAGUUUUAGAGCAGAAUUUAUUAAUGGAAAAAAAAUCUUACGCUGGUUUUUGGAACAAGUUACUGUCCCACUGAACCCUGUAACCUCGCUGAGCGGAGCCCUUCAGACUGCAGUCCACUCUGUUCUACAGUUAAUGGAUCCAGAUCACAGAGGAGACCUCAGCACAGCUGGAAUCAAGGCUGCUAUUUCCUCAUGUGCUAUUGUUUUUGAGACGGAAUAAUAUCACAGAAAAAAAAUCUGGCAUCUUAGUGAAUAACACACUUAUAAUGUUUAUAUAAAGUAUACAGUGAUAUGUUAAAUAAUCUACAUGGUUAGAAAUAAAGGUGCUGUGCUGGAAAAUCUUUCGUUCAUCAAGGUUUCAGCAAAGUAAAUGUUCCCUCAAAGGUACAGCAGUAGUUUAAGGUCCAAUUGUGUACCUUAAAUAAGUUUUUUUCUCCCAUGUGAAAAGUACAUAUUUGCACCUUUGCAUAACCUAAUGUUUUAAUACCUUUAUUUCUGAGAGUGUAGUUACCUGGCUGCCUUAAAAUUCGGUGUUAACUGAACUUCAAACAAUACAUUUAUAGAGCGUAAAACAGAUUUUUGUCCUGUUAGUUAAUAAAGUUCUGUUAAAUCAAAGUUUUAAAGCAGCCUGGUUUUUACCUUUUCAAGCUAAAGCACCAUUUGUAUUAUAGUGCAGUUAGAUUUGUGUUCUGUAUUUUAACAUUUUCUUUACCCAGCUAUAAUCAGAAGAGUAAACUGUUUUUUAUUUUAAAAAGCUGACUUUUAUGAUGUAGAGAAAUAUAGGAGGUUCGAUUAAAACUCUAUGAAAUGUUCACACCACCACUCUUUAUUUUUUUCUGUAUUUUUAUUGUUCUGUCUUUCAGUUCACCUCUUUUGUUCUUUCAAAGAGAGAAAAAGAAGAACAGAAUUAGCCUGCGA